rnacentral:rRNA from 1 species
GACGAACGCUGGCGGCGUGCUUAACACAUGCAAGUCGAACGGAAAGGCCCUGCUUUUGUGGGGUGCUCGAGUGGCGAACGGGUGAGUAACACGUGAGUAACCUGCCCUUGACUUUGGGAUAACUUCAGGAAACUGGGGCUAAUACCGGAUAGGAGCUCCUGCUGCGUGGUGGGGGUUGGAAAGUUUCGGCGGUUGGGGAUGGACUCGCGGCUUAUCAGCUUGUUGGUGGGGUAGUGGCUUACCAAGGCUUUGACGGGUAGCCGGCCUGGGAGGGUGACCGGCCACAUUGGGCCUGAGAUACGGACCAGAAUCCUACGGGAGGCAGCAGUGGGGAAUAUUGCACAAUGGGCGGAAGCCUGAUGCAGAAACGCCGCGUGCGGGAUGACGGCCUUCGGGUUGUAAACCGCUUUCGCCUGUGACGAAGCGUGAGUGACGGUAAUGGGUAAAGAAGCACCGGCUAACUACGUG